rnacentral:rRNA from 1 species
CCUACGGGUGGCAGCAGUGAGGAAUAUUGGUCAAUGGCCGAGAGGCUGAACCAGCCAAGUCGCGUGAGGGAAGACGGCCCUACGGGUUGUAAACCUCUUUUGUCGGGGAGCAAAGCGAGUCACGUGUGACUCAUUGAGAGUACCCGAAGAAAAAGCAUCGGCUAACUCCGUGCCGGCAGCCGCGGUAAUACGGAGGAUGCGAGCGUUAUCCGGAUUUAUUGGGGUUAAGGGGUGCGCAGGCGGAGGUAAAAGUAAGCGGGAAACUUGCGGGGCUCAACCCCGUACUUCCGUUGAAACUGUAUCCCUUGAGUGCGCGAGAAGUAGGCGGAAUGCGUGGUGUAGCGGUGAAAUGCAUAGAUAUCACGCAGAACUCCGAUUGCGAAGGCAGCAUACCGGAGCGCAACUGACGCUCAUGCACGAAAGCGUUGGUAUCGAACAGGAUUAGAUACCCGUGUAGUC